rnacentral:sRNA from 1 species
GGAAUGUGGCACAAUCAAAUCUGGCUCCUUCCACUUCUGAGUUGGUGCAAGAAACACUUGGCAGCUAUUAAAGUGCUAUUCUUUGCAGUUAUUUGGUAUAAUUUGCCACAGAAGUAAAUUCCAGGAGCCGGGAAGAUUUCCAGAGGAUUCCAGAACUUGCCAUCAACCCACUGGGGGACCGGAUCAUUAAUGCCUUCUUUCCAGAGGGAGAGGACCAGGUAAACUUCCGUGGAUUCAUGCGAACUUUGGCUCAUUUCCGCCCCAUUGAGGAUAAUGAAAAGAGCAAAGAUGUGAAUGGACCCGAACCACUCAACAGCCGAAGCAACAAACUGCACUUUGCUUUUCGACUAUAUGAUUUGGAUAAAGAUGAAAAGAUCUCCCGUGAUGAGCUGUUACAG